rnacentral:tRNA from 1 species
GGCAUAGCUCAACGGUUAGAGCAGGGGACUCAUAAUCCCUUGGUUGGGGGUUCGAAUCCCUCUGCCCC